CAGCCGUAAACAAUGUGCGUUAGGUGUGUCGGUAACCACGCGUUACUGAUGCGCCGAAGAGAAAUCGUGAAACGCACCACCUGGGAAGUACGGUCGCAAGGCUGAAACUUAAAGGAAUUGGCGGGGGGAGGCACCACAACAGGUGGAGCCUGCGGUUUAAUUGGAUUCAACGCCGGACAUCUCACCGGAUAAGACAGCUGAAUGAUUGUCAAUCUGAAGGUUUUACAUGACUAGCUGAGAGGUGGUGCAUGGCGUCAGUGACU
rnacentral:rRNA from 1 species